GCCGACCAGCUAGCCCACCCUAACAAAAACAACAACUCAAUAUAAAUAACCCCAAAUACACAAACUCCUCCUAAAAACAAACCAUUUUUCCCCCUUAGUAUGGGCGACAGAAAAGGAACCAUUGGAGCAAUAGAGAAAGUACCGCAAGGGAACGCUGAAAGAGAAAUGAAACAACCCAGUAAAGCUUAGAAAAGCAGAGAUUUUACCU
rnacentral:rRNA from 1 species